UGACUGUAACGGUCAUAAGCCCAAGACGAGCCCACACUCCCAAUUCUUCCACUCAAAAAUCUCAAUCUAACGAUUGAAGCUACCAACAGUGCCCAGUCCGAACACCGCGGUGACAGUCCACUCGUGCGGGAAACCCACGAUGCUGGUGUUGUCUUGAGCAAUGAAGAUGAUUUCUUGAGGGAGGUUUCACUCUGCAGAGAGCUCUUCACCUUAGUGUGGCGGUAUUGAAUUACAUUUGUUGUGUGGUUUGGAGAGGGGAUUUGGGUUGGGUCUCUACUUUUGCAGUUUU
rnacentral:SRP_RNA from 22 species